ensembl:lncRNA
CCUCUCUUUGUUCCUGUGUAAACUCAGCAGACAAAGGCAAUCCGAUGUCUUCUCUUAGUACAUAUCUGACUCGGCAGAGCCGUGAUGCAAGGAUGAUAACUUCCUCUGAGACCAGUUUGGCUGUAUUCCCAGGUCUCAUCGUUUCGACCUUAUGUUACAUGUUAGUGGUACUGGUGAGAGCUCAGCCUGUUAGCUGCCAUUCAGUAUAGCAGAGUGAGCUGGAUCUCGUCCUCUCUGGGGUUUAAAGUGGCUCGUGAAUGUUACCUACUCUCGAUGUGUCUGCCGCAGCCUUACUCUCAGUUGAUGUGUGUUAUGCUGUUAGUGUUGUGACUCAUUCUCAGUGAGAACAGGACAAGCAAAUCUAUUUUCUCAUCCAAACCCCUUUGCAUGCUGUGGUAUGGUCGCUAGGUUGGGUGAAUGUAUCCCGCUGCACACUGUACUUUGGUAGAGACCAUCAGAUUUCUUUCAUAUGCUAGAAGUUCUUGUCAGAAGAGAGUGUGUGUUCUUACACCCUGUACCCAAAGCACACUGAGUCAUAAUAAAAACAUGAUGACUGCUAAAACGUGACGAUGCCGUAGCUGACGCAGUGCUGUAGAUCUUGAGUUGUAGAGAAGGUAUAGGCUGAUGUAAGCGUCCAUACACAGGGUAUUAUCCACACCAAGACUUGCGCAAGGGUGCUCUCUCUGAUUAAGCACCCAAAGGAAAAGCUCUUAGGAUGUAAAAAGAUGGCCUGAAGAAAGCCAGACAGCACCAGUGUUAACUUUCAAUUCUGGACAAACUGAGAGCAGAAAGUAUCUUCUUAAAUGUAGCUGAUAAAUAUCUUGGAGAAACAAAGUGAAUACCAUCUGGUACUCCUUGAUUUCUCAGAAUCACUAUAUGUCAGUGAAUAGCCCUGAGACUCUAAAAUAUAAAAUGCACAAGUCACCAAUUUCAAUGACAAAAUGUAAUAAUUUACAGAAGUAUUGAAAACUGAAGGGACAUAUACAGUGGACGGUAUCAUUGCUAUAAUCUUUUUCAGAGUAGAAAAUAGUGUUUAAUCUUGCUCUGUCUCAAGUGACAUUCAUGGAGUAGUACAGAGGACAGACACACUGUUUAUCCCCUCUGCUCCGUACCCCUGUCUUCACCCUCACUCCUCACCCCUACCCCAGCUCCCACAGCACUAGCUCCUUCGUCCCAAUGUUCUUCACCUCGGUCCCCAUCUCCCCAGUGGAUAAGGAAAUGUACAUGCAGAUUACGUCCUGAGGGUAGAGCUGUUAAAGCUGACCAGUCCCCUGCUGUGGGAAGAUGAUAGAACAGGAAGAUAGAAGACAAGACACAAAUGCCAUCUAUGUUGUGUUUGACAGGGCAUGAGACAACUCCGUUUACUCCAUUAGUUAACAAGCCAAGUAAGGCAUGGCUGGAGUGUAUUAAGAAAGGAACAAGCUAUAAAAAUAAGAGCAUCCAUCUGAGGAAAUUUGUAGGAUCUCCCAAUACUGAGGUAGACAUGAUCUGAGACAACCAUUAGUGCUGGCUUUGGUUGGAGAAGAGGCAGUUGGCAAACUCAGGCAGUGAAGGUAAUGGGUGCAACUGGUCCUGUAAUGCGCUUAGGCGUGACGGUGUGCCAUGACAGCCCCGGUCUGUGCUGUUGAUGCCCAGUGUAACUUAAUGCUGCAGCGGUAGUUAAAAGCAACCUUGAGAAUAAACACCAGUCUGCACACUCGAGGAAGAGGCAGAGCCUGUGCUAGGACAUGGAGAUCUUCAAGAGAACAAGACAGCCAGCACUGAAACUAAAUAUUUUGAUUGCUGGUGAAUAAAUGUCUCAUAGAUUCAAGAUUAUUUUUGUAAGAAGUCUUAAUGAGACAAGAUGCAGUACAUAAUUCUUCUAUGUCAUGAUACAGGAAUUCCAAACAUGGCUAAACAUAGUUACUGUCACGUGUUAAAGCGGAGCUGUGAGGGUUUGCGGAGAGACAUGUGAACAGUGUGUGGAGGGCGUUCACUCUUGAGGCUGGUUCCUGCUGCAUCUUGACGGGGCAUCUUGACGAGUGUUCGCAAGUCCAGUGCAGAGUCCUCAGGGUGACUGCAGAGGCCUCCCUCUGGAGGUUGGGGACGAUGCCUGCCCACUGAGCCUACAAGCAUCACGUCUUUCACAUCUUAUUUUCCUGACCGUUUCAGUUUAUAAGACAGAGCACAGCCAUUCUUUUUUUUUUUUUUUUUUUUUUUUUUUUUUGGUUCUUUUUUUCGGAGCUGGGGACCGAGAGCACAGCCAUUCUUACGAUCGUUUUGUCUCUGAAAAGUGUGUCUGCACCUUCGCUCCGGUGUUAGUCUUCUCAGCCAGUGAAGUCGCUCGGAGAACAACAUCAGGGUGGACGUCAUUCUUCAGGGUUGUGAGAGGAUCAAAGUGUCACUCGCGUGGUUUUGAGUAGCUUUAGGACCCGCGUUGCUCACCUCACACUCUGAAGAGAAACUUAAUUUUCUAAAUUGGCACAUAGUAUUUGGUCAUUAUAAUGUUGUAAGAGCAUUUGGGGGAAGUACAUGUCAAAACUUUUGUUUCUCAGUUUUAUUAUAAAAAUUUUAAGUCUAUAAAAUUUAAAAUUGCGCCGCAUCCUCACACCCUCAGCAUUAGUUAUGCUUGCGCAGUCACAUGCGCGGCCGUAUGUCUAUCCAUCCAGACUAUUUUCUGAUGAGUCUGAAACUGCGGAUCUCCACAUGCUCUCGUCUAAAUACUUGAGCACAUUUCUCACACUAGCAAGGUCUCCACUUGCUGCCUUUGGCAUAAGCUCGCAUUCAUGACGUGGAUGUGCACAGAACAUUCCCAUGCUCUGUUUCCAUAAUUACGUGGCGCGCUAUAGAAAGGGGCAUCUACCACUCUGGAAAGUUCUCCUUCUCACACCUCACUGUCCCCAGAUGACAAGCACUGUUCUUCCUCUCUACUGUAAGUUGGCUUGUUCCAUUUUAGAACUUAUUUUAAUUGACAUCACACAUCAGGUCUUCUUCACUACCGUAAUAUUUGGGAGAUUUAUUCGUGGACUUGGCGUAUUAUUAAUUCAUCCCUAUUUUAUUGCUAAGUGAUGUCCUCAUGAUUGUAUAUUGCCACUUGUUUUCCUAGUUUCCUAUUGGCUAACUGGGCUGUUUCCAGGACUGCCAAUUAUGAAGAGAACUGCAAUGAUCGUUAUUAGGAACAUCUGUAUCAAUAUAGUUAUCCAUUUGCUCAUGAGUAAAUAAAUAUUUAGGAUUGCUGGCUUGUAGGGUGGUUUUAAAAAGAAACUACCAUUCUUUUUCCCAGUGUGGUUGUUCUGUACCCUGAUUUUUAUAUUUUGGGUAUGUAAAAAGUUGUAAAAAAUUUUUUCUGAUUCCCAUGUUGAAAUAGAGAAGUUGGGGUUAGAAAUGAUAUCGCUCAUAUUUGAAUGUGGUAGUUGGCAUUCAAGGGGAAGGGAUGCUGUCUGUCACAGAACAGCUCCCGAAAGCGGUGCCUCAGACGUGAAAUUUUAGAAUAGGCUCCACUCUGUGAGAGGUUGGGCUCUAAGCAUGCUGAUUUAUUAGCUAGAAGAAACAGCACUAGCUCAAUUAUGUUACAUUUACCACCCACUUUCAGUAAGUAAAGUAAGACACAUCACUGAGUAGUAAAGAACACUUUAUGAGGGAAUCGGAGGGGGGCAGAAAACAAAAACAAAACCAAGAACAUGAACAGGAGUCGGUUCCUGGUACUACAGCGUGAGAAAGACACCUGUGCAGGGGAGUGCCCUGUGGUGGUCAGGAAAGCAGACAACCAGAUGGGAAGAACUCUACCUCAUAGUUUACAUAGCUGAUAGGUAUGUUUUGUAGACAUUUUAGCCUUUAAGUGUCUUCAUCUUUUCAGCCCAACUUUGUUAGUUUUGUACUUGGGUGACUUUUUUCUACUGUGUGUUAUCCUCAUCUUCUGUUCUAUUAAACAAUACCCACCUGUGAAAUUAUGAUCAUAUAUUAUGUUUCCAGUACCCAUGUUCAAUACCCGUGUGUGACUUAUCUAACCUUUCCUAUAGGAUUUUUAAGGGCUGGGAAAUUUGGCUUCUACUGUGUAUCCUUAUGUGCCCACAUUGUAAAUAUGCAAUAAAACCAUAAAAAUACAAUGACAGCAGAUUUUCAUAUGUAUUUCUUGGCCAUGUUGUUAUCUGACAAGUUUGAUUUCUGUAAAU